rnacentral:rRNA from 1 species
GAGUUUGAUCCUGGCUCAGAACGAACGCUGGCGGCGUGCCUAACACAUGCAAGUCGAACGUGAUCCAGAGCUUGCUCUGGUGAAAGUGGCGCACGGGUGAGUAACGCGUGGAUAACCUACCCUGGUAUCCGGGAUAACAUUCCGAAAGGGGUGCUAAUACCGGAUAAGCCCACGGGCUCUUUGGAGCUUGCGGGAAAAGGUGGCCUCUAUUUAUAAGCUACUGUAUCAGGAUGGGUCCGCGUACCAUUAGCUAGUUGGUGGUGUAACGGACCACCAAGGCGACGAUGGUUAGCUGGUCUGAGAGGAUGAUCAGCCACACUGGAACUGAGACACGGUCCAGACUCCUACGGGAGGCAGCAGUGGGGAAUUUUGCGCAAUGGGGGAAACCCUGACGCAGCAACGCCGCGUGAGUGAUGAAGGCCUUUGGGUCGUAAAGCUCUGUCAGAGGGGAAGAAAUGAUAUAGUGCUAAUACCACUUUAUCUUGACGGUACCCUCAAAGGAAGCACCGGCUAACUCCGUGCCAGCAGCCGCGGUAAUAC